GCUGCGCUUGUACUGUGCAAGUCUUACCUUUUCACACUUUGUGUAAAUCUUAGCUGGAAAGCCAGAAUGAACUGAAUCAGAAUGAAAUAGAUAAUAUCAACAACCUGGCCAUCAACUGGGACUUGCCAGCAGUCAGCAACAGCAACAGAAGGUGGUCGGCAGAAACCAUUCUCCACCAUGGGGUUAUUGGUCGACGUGAAAAACAGAUGUCUCCGCUGCGGAGAGGACUCAAAGAUACAGGUGUUUUGAGAAUGAUAAAAGAACGACCCAGUUUAACUGCAGGACUGUUUCCCAGAUCUUCUGCACUGCUGAUGGAACCAGAGAUGAUACUUAGGAGAGUCACCUGGCCAGAGCCUGACAGUGAUGAAGAUGAAACCCCUUUGAACCUGGAGCAAUCUUGUGAUGUUACGGCUUUUCUCCCAGUGGCUUCAACCUGCCUCACGACACUGAAACUUCCUUUAAGAUGCAGAACCUUUCUUGCAUUUACAGAAGCAACGAGAGCCGCCGUUUCAUCCACAAGGUUUGGCUUUGGCCUUAUCGGAGUUGUAAUAUUUAAGUAUUCAUGAACUGCAUAUUUAGGAAAACAUUUUAAUGGCAUGUUCGUUGUCUACAGUAUUUUUCACAUUUCUUGCUUUUAUAAAAAUGCAUGCUCUUGACAGGAAGCUUUAAAGAGCUCUCAUUGCAGUGGUGGAAAUUCUAAUGAGUAAAGUGAAGUUAACCUUGAGUUAAAUGAAGAACAAAUGUUAAAGAAAACUACUUGUUUCUCUCUCUUUUUUUUUUAUUCUUAGGAAAUUUUGUAGUUCAGGCAUUUGUCGAAAUAAACUCGCCAAAGGAAAA